AUGGCUUCUUACAGGAAUAUGUUCAACUCGUGGGGGAAAGAAAUAUCCUGAUUCAAAGCAGUUUCAAAAAGAUUGUGAAGCAUGGAACAUUGACAUGCUCAGGCAACUGGAUUUCAUUUGUUUUCCUUGAUGAUGCUUUGCUUCUCAUCCAAGAAGAAAAAGAAAAAAAAAACAUUUGGGACAAAUAUGGCUUGAAUGACUGAAAAUCUCCAUAGACAUACAGAGAAAAAAAAAUUACAUUUCAAUAAGAUGCAGGAAAGAAACAAGAGGAUGCCCUCAUGUCCCUGGCUUUAGAAUUUUCAACGAGCCAGCAGCAGACAAGAAUAUGGUAGGAUAUCAUUUAAUUGAUAGGAUGAGAAAAGUUUGAAUUUCAGAAAAGCACUCAAGGUUCUCCCCCUUGGUGGCAUAUAGUGCCUAGAAAAAUCACAUUACUUGCUGACCAUGUGAAGCUAGGAGAGAACAGCAGUGAGGGGGUUUCCAAAAGGAGAACAUCUCUAUACUCCAUAUGAUUUUUAUUUCCCAAUAUCUUGACAACACUUUUAAGAAGUGAAAUCUAUCUACGAUAUCUUUAAACCUGCCAAUUUCAAAAUGUUAAACAAGAAGCAAAACUUACUUGUUCUGUCCUGAUCUUUUGCAUAUCCCUCAGUAGCAAGAACAAAAACAAAGAAGCCUUAUUCAUAUUCUAUGGAAAAGAGAAAUAAAAUUGGUCGCUUCUGUUCCUC